GUGAUUGUAACUCAGCCGGUAGAGUGUUGUACUUAUAUAACAGUAUGGAAUGCAAAGGUCGAGAGUUCGAUCCUCUCCUAUCACA
rfam:Dictyostelium fasciculatum unplaced genomic scaffold Scf_ETAJFTG01CK1KI-5, whole genome shotgun sequence.